AACUCACUGUGACAGCAUGGCUUCUUUUUGGUGAAUUUGUCUCCUGAUCUAAAGUUGUGGAGGAUCUGAACAACACAACUGAAAGUGUCAGGCCAGA